rnacentral:tRNA from 1 species
GCCGGAGUGGCGAAAUGGCAGACGCGACGGACUCAAAAUCCGUUGCCCCAAGGGGCGUGAGGGUUCAAAUCCCUCCUCCGGUACCA